GACGAACGCUGGCGGCGUGCUUAACACAUGCAAGUCGAACGGAAAGGCCCUGCUUUUGUGGGGUGCUCGAGUGGCGAACGGGUGAGUAACACGUGAGUAACCUGCCCUUGACUUUGGGAUAACUUCAGGAAACUGGGGCUAAUACCGGAUAGGAGCUCCUGCUGCAUGGUGGGGGUUGGAAAGUUUCGGCGGUUGGGGAUGGACUCGCGGCUUAUCAGCUUGUUGGUGGGGUAGUGGCUUACCAAGGCUUUGACGGGUAGCCGGCCUGAGAGGGUGACCGGCCACAUUGGGACUGAGAUACGGCCCAGACUCCUACGGGAGGCAGCAGUGGGGAAUAUUGCACAAUGGGCGGAAGCCUGAUGCAGCAACGCCGCGUGCGGGAUGACGGCCUUCGGGUUGUGAACCGCUUUCGCCUGCGACGAAGCGUGAGUGACGGUAAUGGGUAAAGAAGCACCGGCUAACUACGUG
rnacentral:rRNA from 1 species